CCUCCCCUCUCGGGUGCCCCUUGCCUUCCUCCUUCACCGCCUGGGAAGCUGUGACUGUUCUCCACCGCUGACACCUCAGCUGCUCUGGAAACCCGUGAACUGUUUGAAAAAGGUUUUCAGCCCCGUCAUCUUUGAUGUUUCUUCCACCCCUGCCUGACAACCGUAUGACCAGCUUCAUAUUGAACUCCUGACCCUGAGUGACCAGCCCUCCCAGGAGAUCAUCACUGAAGCUCUGGACUCCUUCUAAUCAUUAAUGAGCAGUGAAACAGGCAGCUCAGCCAGGAGCAGAGAAAAAGAUUUUCAGGAAAGGGAGGAGGGGGCUACGGGGGUGGUUGAUGCCUUUCUUGAUGUAAAUGGGUGAAACUAAGCAAGACUGGGAGGAGGGUCACCGAGUACAAAGGUACUGCCCUGCUGUCAGCAGGCUCCAAACUCUGUUUUCUAUCCUGAAGUUUGACUACGGGUCCCUUUCCCUCUGAGCUAAAUGCACAAACAACAACAAACAAGUUGCUGCUGAGUUGGAAAUAC